rnacentral:rRNA from 1 species
AUGGAGCAGGAGUUUCAUGCUCUUCUUCGUAACAAGACAUGGACUCUCGUUCCUCCACCACCACGGGUAAAUGUUAUUGACUCAAAAUGGGUAUUCAAAGUGAAGAAGCAUUCGGAUGGAUCUAUUGAGCGUUACAAAGCGCGACUUGUUGCUCGCGGUUUUCGGCAGCGUCAUGGUCUUGACUAUGAGGACACCUUCAGUCCUGUCGUCAAGCCUACCACUAUUCGGCUUCUUCUCUCCAUUGCUGUUUCUCGUGGUUGGUCACUUCGUCAACUUGAUGUGCAGAAUGCUUUUCUACAUGGAUUUUUGGAGGAAGAUGUUUAUAUGAAACAGCCGCCUGGUUUCUCUGAUCCUGAUCGUCCUGACUAUAUCUGUCGUCUUUCCAAAGCACUAUAUGGUUUGAAGCAAGCUCCUCGUGCCUGGCAUGCCCGCCUUGCCUCUGCCCUUCGUGCUCAUGGGUUUGUGCCGUCUACUGCUGACACUUUGUUAUUUCUUCUACAAAAGCCAGAAGUCACUAUGUAUCUUUUGGUAUAUGUCGAUGAUAUUAUCCUUGUCAGCUCUUCUCAGUAUGCUGCUGAUGCUCUUGUCUGCUCUCUUGGUGUUGAUUUUGCGGUCAAAGAUCUUGGGAAGCUUCACUACUUUCUUGGAGUUGAGGUCACUUCUCGUGCUACUGGUCUUGUCCUUACGCAGAAGAAGUACUCCUUGGAGUUGUUACAGAGAGCUGGCAUGCUGAAGUGCAAACCGACCACCACACCCAUGUCGUCUACCGACAAGAUAACAACUGUUGAUGGUGAGCUUUUGUCUCCUGCGGAUGCCACAGAGUACAGGAGCAUUGUUGGUGGACUUCAGUACUUGACGAUCACGAGACCAGAUAUCUCUUAUGCUGUUAACAGGGUUUGUCAGUAUCUUCAGGCUCCCAGAGAUACUCAUUGGGCUGCUGUUAAACGCAUUCUUCGUUAUGUUCAGUUCACCCUGACAUUUGGUUUGCAUAUUCGGCCGACUUCCUCUCGGGUCCUUUCGGCCUUCUCUGAUGCAGAUUGGGCUGGUAGCCCAGAUGACAGGCGAUCCACGGGGGGUUAUGCAGUAUUCUUUGGCUCUAAUUUGAUCGCCUGGAGUGCUCGGAAACAGGCUACUGUGUCACGUAGCAGUACUGAAGCUGAGUACAAGGCUGUGGCUAAUGCUACUGCAGAGAUUAUUUGGGUGCAGUCUUUGCUUCAGGAGUUGGGUUUGUCUCAACCACAGCCUCCUAUUCUUUGGUGUGAUAACAUCGGUGCUACAUACCUUUCUGCAAAUCCAGUAUUUCAUGCCCGAAUGAAACACAUUGAAGUUGACUAUCACUUUGUAUGGGAACGUGUAUCACAAAAGCAACUCCAGAUCAAGUUUAUCUCAUCUAAGGAUCAACUUGCAGACAUCUUCACUAAGCCUUUACCGCUGCCACAGUUUGAGGCUUGUAGGCGCAAUCUUACCCUUCUCAGUUCUUUAGAAAGUGGCUAA